CUGUAGCAUGCCGUGCAAUAAGUAUAUUAAUUAAUUGAUUAAAUCCUAACGCCCUGCAUAUUACAGAGAAUGCACUUUAUAAGCAAGGUAAAAUGAUUUUAGAGGACAGAGUUUACGUUUCUAAAAUUGUGUCUGACUUAAGAAAGUCAGUUUACGAGACAACUCUUCGAGGUUUAUACGAUAGUUCAAACUG